GACGAACGCUGGCGGCGUGCCUAAUACAUGCAAGUAGAACGCUGAAGAGAGGAGCUUCCUCUUCUUGGAUGAGUUGCGAACGGGUGAGUAACGCGUAGGUAACCUGCCUUGUAGCGGGGGAUAACUAUUGGAAACGAUAGCUAAUACCGCAUAACAAUGGAUGACACAUGUCAUUUAUUUGAAAGGGGCAAUUGCUCCACUACAAGAUGGACCUGCGUUGUAUUAGCUAGUAGGUGAGGUAAUGGCUCACCUAGGCGACGAUACAUAGCCGACCUGAGAGGGUGAUCGGCCACACUGGGACUGAGACACGGCCCAGACUCCUACGGGAGGCAGCAGUAGGGAAUCUUCGGCAAUGGGGGCAACCCUGACCGAGCAACGCCGCGCGAGUGAAGAAGGUUGUCGGAUCGUAAAGCUCUGUUGUAAGUCAAGAACGGGUGUGAGAGUGGAAAGUUCACACUGUGACGGUAGCUUACCAGAAAGGGACGGCUAACUACGUG
rnacentral:rRNA from 1 species